rnacentral:rRNA from 1 species
CCUACGGGUGGCAGCAGUGAGGAAUAUUGGUCAAUGGGCGCGAGCCUGAACCAGCCAAGUAGCGUGAAGGAUGACUGCCCUACGGGUUGUAAACUUCUUUUAUAAAGGAAUAAAGUGAGGCACGUGUGCCUUUUUGUAUGUACUUUAUGAAUAAGGAUCGGCUAACUCCGUGCCAGCAGCCGCGGUAAUACGGAGGAUCCGAGCGUUUUCCGGAUUUAUUGGGUUUAAAGGGAGCGUAGAUGGGUUGUUAAGUCGGUUGUGAAAGUUUGCGGCUCAACCGUUGAAUUGCCAUUGAUACUGGCUUCCUGGAGUACGGAUGCGGUAGGCGGAAUGUGUGGUGUAGCGGUGAAAUGCAUAGAUAUCACACAGAACUCCGAUUGCGAAGGCAGCUCACGAAUCCGCGAUUGACACUGAUGCACGAAAGUGUGGGUAUCAAACAGGAUUAGAUACCCGUGUAGUC